rnacentral:rRNA from 1 species
AUUGAACGCUGGCGGCAUGCUUUACACAUGCAAGUCGAACGGUAACAGGCCGCAAGGUGCUGACGAGUGGCGAACGGGUGAGUAAUGCAUCGGAACGUGCCCAGUCGUGGGGGAUAACUACUCGAAAGAGUAGCUAAUACCGCAUACGAUCUAUGGAUGAAAGCGGGGGACCGUAAGGCCUCGCGCGAUUGGAGCGGCCGAUGUCAGAUUAGGUAGUUGGUGGGGUAAAGGCUCACCAAGCCAACGAUCUGUAGCUGGUCUGAGAGGACAACCAGCCACACUGGGACUGAGACACGGCCCAGACUCCUACGGGAGGCAGCAGUGGGGAAUUUUGGACAAUGGGCGCAAGCCUGAUCCAGCAAUGCCGCGUGCAGGAAGAGGGCCUUCGGGUUGUAAACUGCUUUUGUACGGAACGAAACGGCUCUGGUUAAUACCCUGGGCUAAUGACGGUACCGUAAGAAUAAGCACCGGCUAACUACGUG